UUUCUAAGGCUGAGACACGACGUCGAGCACCUACGGGUGUGAAGUCAUUGAUGCCAUGCUUCCAGGAAAAGCCUCUAAGCUUCAGAUUGUAAGGAAUCGUACCCCAAACCGACACAGGUGGUCGGGUAGAGAAUACCAAGGCGCUUGAGAGAACUCGGGUGAAGGAACUAGGCAAAAUGGUACCGUAACUUCGGGAGAAGGUACGCUCUUGAUGGUGAAGUCCCUUGCGGAUGGAGCUGACGAGAGUCGCAGAUACCAGGUGGCUGCAACUGUUUAUUAAAAACACAGCACUGUGCAAAAUCGUAAGAUGACGUAUACGGUGUGACGCCUGCCCGGUGCCGGAAGGUUAAUUGAUGGGGUUAGACUUCGGUCGAAGCUCUUGAUCGAAGCCCCGGUAAACGGCGGCCGUAACUAUAACGGUCCUAAGGUAGCGAAAUUCCUUGUCGGGUAAGUUCCGACCUGCACGAAUGGCGUAAUGAUGGCCACGCUGUCUCCACCCGAGACUCAGUGAAAUUGAAAUCGCUGUGAAGAUGCAGUGUACCCGCGGCUAGACGGAAAGACCCCGUGAACCUUUACUACAGCUUGGCACUGAACAUUGACCCUACAUGUGUAGGAUAGGUGGGAGGCUUUGAAGCACGUACGCCAGUAUGUGUGGAGCCGUCCUUGAAAUACCACCCUUGUAGUGUUGAUGUUCUAACGUCGACCCCUAAUCGGGGUUGCGGACAGUGCCUGGUGGGUAGUUUGACUGGGGCGGUCUCCUCCCAAAGAGUAACGGAGGAGCACGAAGGUGGGCUAAUCACGGUUGGACAUCGUGAGGUUAGUGCAAUGGCAUAAGCCCGCUUGACUGCGAGAAUGACAAUUCGAGCAGGUGCGAAAGCAGGUCAUAGUGAUCCGGUGGUUCUGAAUGGAAGGGCCAUCGCUCAACGGAUAAAAGGUACUCCGGGGAUAACAGGCUGAUACCGCCCAAGAGUUCAUAUCGACGGCGGUGUUUGGCACCUCGAUGUCGGCUCAUCACAUCCUGGGGCUGAAGUCGGUCCCAAGGGUAUGGCUGUUCGCCAUUUAAAGUGGUACGCGAGCUGGGUUUAGAACGUCGUGAGACAGUUCGGUCCCUAUCUGCCGUGGGCGUUGGAAGAUUGAAGGGGGCUGCUCCUAGUACGAGAGGACCGGAGUGGACGAACCUCUGGUGUUCGGGUUGUGUCGCCAGACGCAUUGCCCGGUAGCUAAGUUCGGAAUCGAUAACCGCUGAAAGCAUCUAAGCGGGAAGCGAGCCCUGAGAUGAGUCUUCCCUGAUACUUUAAGUAUCCUAAAGGGUUGUCGGAGACUACGACGUUGAUAGGUCAGGUGUGUAAGUGCUGUGAGGCAUUGAGCUAACUGAUACUAAUUGCCCGUGAGGCUUAACCAUACAACAC
rnacentral:rRNA from 1 species